UCCCGAGGACAGCGUUAUAUCACGGUAGAGGUGUAUCUUGAUUUUUUUUUUUUAAGACCAUCUCAUGGUUUUUUGGAGGUUGGGGGCCCUGAUUAAUGAUUUUUGAAUUCUUGGAGUUGGUAAUGCUGAAAUAAUGGAAGAUAAAACCAGGAUUUUUUAAGGAUAGUUGUUAAGGAAAGCAAACUUGAUUCAAUAUGGGACCUAACCCAGCGGCCAAAAAAGCAAGCUAAGAGGCCAGUGUCUAACAGGUCCAAGUUCUCAGAUUCAGAAAAAAAAUCUUAACAGAAAAACACACAUUUUCUAUUGGUGUAAGACCUGGAAAAUUGUGUAGACAAGUAGAAAGAAGAUGAGACUGAUUGCUAAAGAUUCAGAGUUAUGUAAUUUAUAUUAUAGAUAGCUUUGGGAAAGAAGUGAAAAUAAAGACAGAAAUAUAUGUACUCCACUUGUGAAGACUGAAGGUAAAUAAAUAAGAGCAGAGAUGUGAGUGCUAGUGUUUAUUAAGAUUGAAAGUAAGGGAAAAGAAAAUCCAGCUUCAUAUGUACAACAGGUAAGGAUGAAAAUGACUUACAGAAAUAGAGAUCUGAGAUUUGAAGAUGAGGAUGAAAAGUCUCAGCUGGAGCCAAAAGGAAAAAGGCAUAAAGCAGUACUGUGUCUUGAGACUCUACCUAAAAAUGGCAUCAAAUCUGAGAAAUGAAUAAGGUGGUAGGGCUAAAUGAUAGAUUAUCUGGGUGGUGCAAGAUAGAUUUAGGAUCUGUGGCUAAAAGAAUGUUUGGGGUUUAGACGUGAAUGGUGCAUAAUGUAGAGCAGGGCUGCACCUCCGCUGCGUAGCUGCAGACUCUCUAGUACUCCUAAGUGCUGUAAUUUUUAUAAAGUAGAGAUUGGCGUAGGAAGGAAUAUAGUGGAGACAUUCAAAGGGGUGGGGGAGCUGCAUGAUAAUAGAUCUGUGAAAAAGAGAGACCGAAGUAGUAGUUUUCAAAUGAAAAGCUAGGAAGAAAUUUUCCAAUCACUGGAUAAUUUUUUGUUUUGUAAGCAAAUGCAGUGGGUACAAAAAUCUGAAAUAGUAGAACUGUACUUUCCCCUUAAAUGUCUCUGGAAUCAGAGAGAAGAAUGGUCUGCAAGAAAAUGUCAGAAUAACCUGGAGAUGUUAUAAUAGCUGACAUUACAUACUCCAGAAUGAAUGCUUUAUUCAGUCUAUGGAGAAAAUAUUUGCUUAUAAAGGAAGAUUUUCAAAAACCCCAAAGGGAUUUAGGAGUGAAAGUCCCAUUGAAAAUCAGAAUACAAGAACGGCCAUACUGGGUCAGACCAAUGGUCGAUCUAGCCCAGUAUUCUGUCUUCUGACAGUGGCCGGUACCAGAUACUUCAGAGGGGAUGAACAGAACAGGGCAAUUUAUUGGGUGAUCCAUCCUGUCAUGCUGUCCGAGCUUUUGGCAGAGGUUUAGGAACAUCCAGAGCAUGGGUUGUGUCCCUGACCAUCUUGGCUAAUAACCAUUGAUAGCCUAUUCUCCAUGAAUUUAUCUAGUUCUUUUUUUAAUCCAGUUAUACUUUUGUCCUUCACAGCAUCCCUUUGCAAUGAGUUCCGCAGAUUGACUGACUGUGCAUUGUCUGAAGAAAUACUUCCUCAUGUUUGUUUUAAACCUGCUGCCUAUAUAUUUCUUUGGAUGACCCCUGGUUCUUGUGUUAUGUGAAGGGGUAAAUAGCACUUCCUUAGUCACUUUCUCCACAACGUUCUUGAUAUUAUAGACUUUUAUCCUUUCCCCCCUUAGCCAUCUCUUUGGGCUUGUUCAGCUUGGAAAUCUUUUUAAUCUCUCCUCAUGUGGAAGCUGCUCCAUACCCCUAAUUAUUUUUGUUGCCCUUCUCUCUACUUUUUCUAAUUCUAAUGUAUCUUCUUUACGAUGGGGAACACCAGAGCUGCAUGCAGCAUUCAAGGUGUGGGCAUACCAUGGAUUUAUAGUGUGGCAUUAUGACAUUUUCAGUCUUAUUAUCUAUCUCUUUACUAGUGGUUACUAAUGUUCUGUUAGCUUUUUUGACUGCUGAUGCAUGUUGAGCAGAUGAUUUCGGAGAACUAUCCACAGUGACCCUAAGAUCUUUCUUAGGGUCUAACUUAGCUGUUAACACUUAUCAUUUUAUAUCCAUAGUUGUCAUUCUGUUUUUCAAUGUGCAUUACUUUGCAUUUAUCAACGUUGUGUAAACGUGCAACAAAAUGGCAGAUGUAGUUCAGUUUUAUGAAAUUCCUUUGUAAUGCGUCAUAAUCGGCUUUGGACUUAACAAUCUUGAGUAAUUUUGUAUCAUUUGCAGACUUUGCCAACUCACUUUUUACCCAUUUUUUCCAGAUCUUUUAUGAAUAUGUUGAACAGAAUUGAUCCCAGUACAGAUGCUUGGGACACCCUGCUAUUUACCUCUCUCCACAGUGAAAUCUGACCAUGUAUUCCUACCCUUUGUUUCCUGUGUUUUAACCAGUUGCUUGAUCCCUGGUGAGAACCUUCCCUUUCAUCACUGCCUACUUUGCUUAAGAGCCUUCGCUUAAGUGAAAGACAUGAAGCAUUAAGACUGAAUUGAGGUUAUUUUGAGAUCAUCCGAUUCCCUGCUAGAAGUUACUGUGAGAGAUCAUCGCCCUGAACAACUUCACACAGAAUGGUCUGAAAGGUUUUUAUUUGGUGAUGGCAUGUUCAAGAACUUGGAUCAAUACAUUGUAUUUAAUGUUAGGAGAUGUUUCUAAGUUUUCAUAUUUAUAAAAGUGACUUUCAAUCUAGAGCGUCCCAGUGUGCUUUCAAACUGUCUCUACAUAUUCACAACACUGCACAGAUGCACAACAAAUGCAGCCACCUCUGGGGUGGGAGGGCAACCAGGAACUACCAUGUUGACCUAUAGGGGGGCUUUUGGUCAAGGACCCAGGGGCAAACUUGAGUCUUGCCAGUUGUGCCAUGCGAUGUGUUAACAGCCAUGCAGAGCAGACAGGACCUCUUUUAUUUUACCAUCUCAUCCCAAAAACAGACACACAGUAAAUGGACUGGUUCAUAGUUUAUCUGUCUCAGAAACAGGAAGAGCCGAGUCACCUCUGCCCUGCACCAGUUUAGUAUGAGCUCCAGGUUUAGCGAAAGCUCCAGUAUGAUUUAAGUGAAAUUAAACAAAAGAGAAGCUUAUGCUCCACCUUACAAGCCCAGGCCAGUUUGGGAUGUGUAGGGGCUCUAUACUCACUCACAGCAGUAAAGUCAGCCACUAGAAACUUUGGGUGGAAUUCCAGCCCUGUGGAAGUCAAUGGGAGUUUUGCCAUUGAUUUCAGUAGGGCAGGAUUUCAUGCCUCCAGUCCACAAGCUUUUAAGCAUGUUGCACUUUAACCUCACGUUUAAGACCAUCCCUAUUCAGCAAAGCACUGAGGGUAUGUCUGCACUGCAGUCUUGGGGCGUGACUGCAGUUUGUGUAGACAUACCCAAGCUAGCUUUAAUUUAGGUACUAGAUCAGUGAACCCACGGUAGCACGAGCUUUAUAAGCCUGCCUGGAACCCUGGCUAAUUACUCUGGCAGCUAGCAGAAGCCCACACCACGCUUUGAUUCUCCUAGCUGCACUUCCGUGUCGCUCGGGUGUGCCUGCGCGAGCUGCAGUCACACUUGAUAAUUGCAGUGUAGACGUACCCUUAAUCACGUGCUUAACAGCUUUGCUGGGACAGGGCCAGAAUCGGCCCGAUAGUUUUCACGUGCAGAGUAAUUUCUGGUGUAAUGCUGAAUCCCUACCACAUUGCAAGUGGAAAUUAUGUGAGCACAGGUGGGAAAAUGAACUUCAUGAAGGUUGAUUUUAGGGUUCCUGCACUGUGAUCAAGCGUCGUGUGCCAUGAUCAGCAUCGUUCUGACUGCACGGGAUAGAUAGGCCUGUGUAGUAAAGAUGCGGAGAAAACAGAAAACAAGCCCUGUGUGCAUUUAUUGUAGGAGUGUGAUUCUCCCUCUGUUGGUAGCCUCUCUCCCUCUCCAUAGAACUCUUCUUUUUUUUUUAAGCAACUUUUCUUUUAAAAAGCCUAUUAAAGGCUACUUUGAUAUUUGAGUUUUGUUCGGCUGUAUAUAAGAAAUGUAUACGGUCUGCUGCCUCAUAGCCCCGCCAAGGUGCAAACUGCUGUGAGAUUCUGACGGGACAGAUUUUCAUUGCCGAGCCUUAUAAAAAGGACAGCUCAAUUAAAAGCAGAAGUUGCAGGUUUGUGUAGGUUUUGGGUGGGUAUCUAGGCUGAGGAAGCUUCUGCUGAGAUUUCUGAACUUAAAGAUAGAGAUGACCUCGUAUCCCUUUCUGCCAGUGCAGAGUUAUUCCACACUGUAUCUGUUGGAGGUCUUUGUGUAAUCCAGUUUCACAGGUCUCCAGUGAUUGGGUUUCUACAACUUCCCUUAGGAGACUAGUCUGUCGUCUAGCUCCCACUUCAGAGUUUUACGUGAUGUUAGACACCAUUUCCAGUUCCAUGAUUCAUCCCGUUUCUUCUUAUAUCAAUAUAAAUAAUGCCUCUUCUUCGUUAGUGUUGAUGGCUUUCAGAGACAUGGAAGCUGUUCCCAUAUUCAUGCCCUUAGUGUGGAUUCAGCCAAGCUAUAUGUCAUUAAGCUCCAAUCCUGCGAACACUUACCUGCAUUACUUUCUAUGCACGUGCAGUCCCAUUGAGCUGUUGAAUGGGACUACACAUGCGCCUAGUCACUCACAUGCAUAAGUGUUUGUGGUAUCAGCUAGUGAGUCCAGCAAUACCCAGGGUCAAGGAAAGAAGAAAGUUAUGUUUGAGUUUCCCAUGCAGCCGCAGAAUGUUUAAAUUGUCAGUCCUGAGCGUUUUCAAAUGCACAAUUGCAUUUCUAGUCAGAUUGAGUUUGUAAAACCAUUUUUUGUUAAUAAACCUACAUUUUUGGGGCUUAAAGUAUUUGUCUGUGAUCCUUUGACAUGCUUUUGAUGGAUGUUAAGUGCUGCCAACGAGCUCAGAGCUGCACAUGCUGCGGGCUCAGUCUGGUAAGGAGCUGAGCACUCUGACCACAGUUCAGCUUAACCACAUACUCCGUUUUAAGCAUCUGAGUUCUACUCAUGGGUUUAAAUUGAGCAUGUACUUAGCUGGAUUGGACCUUGUAGAACCCUGUCUGUCGAGAGAUACUUAUGACCCCUAUCGCUGCAAUAUCUGAGCACAUCACAAGCAUUAAUGAACUUAUCCUCACAUAGCCCUGAACAGUAAAGAAGUACUAUUAACCCCAUUUUACAUAUGGGGAAUUGAGGCACAGAGAGACUAAGUGACUUGUCCAAGAGCACGCAAGAAGUCGGUGGCAGAUUCAAGACUAGAAUCCAGGUCUCCUAAGUCCCAGUUCAGUGCCUUAAGCACGAGACAAUCCUUCCUUCCUACAGGAAACAAGCACGCAACUCCCAUAUUGAGAAUAUUGCAGUAUUUUUUGAAGGGUGGCAGACAGUACGAUAAUUAUGGAUGAGUACAGUAGGUGGUGUAUCUAUUAAACUUUACAUUAUUAAAAGCCUUGAUAUGGUCCUUACCAGGCGGAUUUAUUAUAGUACAGUAAAUCAACACAUCAAUACCCAUUAUUUUAGAAGCACUGAUGAAUUUCAGGCAUUUUUGAACAGCGUGGAAGACUCAUCCUAAUAUGUUCUUUCGUGUAGUAUAUUGUUCAUCUUCAUUUUCAGAACAGUAUUCCUUAAAUACAAAUGCUCCCGCACUUGAUCAAACGGAAUAAAUGUAAUCAGAAAAUCAGCCGCUCAUGGCGAUUCCAUGCAUAUGUUACGUGUCAUCUCCCAUGAAGGAGAGGCACUUUAAGAAACAUCCUCAUCCAUUUUAGCAUGUGAUUGGCCAGGUCUUUCUAUGUCAUUUUGCUCAUCUAGGGGUAUCAUCUCUAAAGAACUGAGGCAUUUUGAAGUGAAUUACAGGACUGUGAAGAUUGCAAGACUGUCUGAAUGGCUUACCUUGGAAAUGGUAUUUCUUGAAGAUUACUUUAGAUACUGAGUAGCUGCACGCUGUGUACGUACCCCCAAUAAAUAAUCUACCUGGCUGGUGACAUUCUUUAAACAAAAAUUCAGAUACUUGGGCUGGGCUAGUUUAAUUUAAAAUGUUUGGCUUAUUUUUUUUUUUUUACACUUGUCCUUAUUUUUAAGUAAAGUUUUUUGGCCCUUUGGGUAUUACAUGCUUUUAUAAUCUUUCCAUAAUUACGUUUACAAAUCUGCUUUUGAGCUGCUGAUAUAUUAAACCUUGCAAACCGAAUCCCUUUAUGUGUUAACCUACAUUUGUAUGUUGUCUUCAUUCCUUUUGGCUGUAAUUAUCCAAGUUCUCGUAUCAGGAUUAAUCCAAGAGCUGCUGAAUUAUGCUUGUCAUUUUUUUUUUCUCUGUAGCAAACUUUCUCUUCUUUAUAAACAGGCUUGGCAGAAUUUAAUUCCAGUGUUUUAUAAUUUCAAUGGAUAAUAUUGAUGAGUUUUUAAACUUUUUUCUAUUUUUACCCAUUUUAAAUUUUCAGUUAUGCAAAAUUAUGAAUUGUAAGCAAUUUUUAUGUAAAUGUUUGCAAUUGUGGGGAAUUCUGGGGGUGGUGGCAGACAGUGAGGUGGUCAGACGCUACCGUGUAUACUCGUUCGUUAGCUCGUUGGUUUAUAAGCCGAUCCCCCCAUGAUGGAUUAGUAAAAAUAGCAAAAACUGUAUGACCCUUUCAUAAGCCGACCCUAUAUUUCAGGGGUUGGAAAACUUUGGCUCCCAACCCCUUCAGGGUAAGCCAUUGGUGGAUCGGGACGUUUUGUUUACCUGGAGCGUUCACAGGCAUGGAGCCCCUCAACUCCCAGUGUCUACAGUUUGCCACAGCUCUCUUUGGCUGGGAACGGUGAACCGCAGCCACAGAGAGCUGAGGGGCUCCACGCCUGCAAACACUCCACAUAAACAAAACAACAAUAUAUUAGAUAUUCAGUUCAAUGAUUCCAUAGAGUUUUAAAUCAUCAAAUUUUGGUGUAGACCCGUUUAUAAGCCGACCCCCGCUCUUUGAUGCGUCACGUUUUUACCAAAAAUAUUUGGCUUAUGAACAAGUAUAUACGGUAAUUAUUUAAUGCUAGUAGAUACUGAGACUCAAAGUUAAAGCUUUAUACCCAAAAACAAUUUUGUAUAUUUUGACAUGCAAUGUUGACAAAGUAAAUAUCCUUAAAUCUCUAAA